CCACAUGGAUCCACUGUGCCUACAAAAUUCACUCCCUCCCCCCUCCCUCACCCUUCUCCACUCGCGUCCGAACCCCAACAUCCUCCUCACAACGCAACACACAACUCAUCACUAUAUUCCAUGUAGAGAAAGUCCGUGCACUCGUGUAUGGGAGGAGGAGAGAGCUCGGUGGGGCCCCUGGUGCCCUCGGUGAAGUCCGAACCGACGCCGUCCGAUGCCGUCGCGGCGGCGCUGCCCUCUCCGCCGCACGAGGAGGCGGCAGCGGAGGAGAGUGAGCUGGACAGGGAUUUCCUGUGCCCUAUCUGCAUGCAGGUCAUUAAGGACGCGUUUCUGACGGCUUGUGGACACAGCUUUUGCUACAUGUGCAUCGCGACUCAUCUUCAGAACAAGCGCGAUUGCCCUUGUUGCGCCCAUUAUCUCACCCCCAAGCACAUUUUCCCCAAUUUCCUUCUCAAUAAGCUAUUGAAGAAGACUUCUGCUCGUCAAAUAGCAAGACAUGGAACUCCUUUUGAACAGCUUCGUCAGGCAUUGCGAGAGGGUUGUGAGGUGUCAGUUAAGGAGCUAGAUAGCCUCUUGUCUGUGCUUAUAGAGAAGAAGAGAAAAAUGGAGCAAGAAGAAGCUGAGACAAAUAUGCAGAUUCUACACGAUUUUUUGCAUUGCCUAAGGAAGCAAAAGCUUGAAGAGCUUAGUCAGAUACAAAAUGAUCUGCAAUAUAUUAAGGAAGAUAUAAAUUCAGUAGAGAGGCAUAGAAUGGACUUAUAUCGAGCAAAAGAGAGAUAUACAGUGAAAUUGAGGAUGCUUAUGAAUGACCCUUCUGCAACGAACGCAUGUCCUUCUUUGAUUGAUAGACGCAGCUGUGGCACAAUCUCUGGUCUACCCAGUGUACAGGACCAAUGCCAAAUGAAUCCUGGCAAUUCACAGAGUAGGAAAGCUGAUGUAAAUACUCUUGUAAGCUCUCAUACGAACCAAAGAAAGGAUGCGCAUGGUGGGUCCAAUUCACAACAUGUUACUCAAUCGGGCCUUGCACUAGCAAGAAAAAAGAGGGUCCUUGCACAGUUCAAUGACCUUCAAGAGUGUUACUUGCAAAAGCGACGACAUGGGGCUAGACAGUCUUACAAACCAGAAGCAAGGGAUGUGAAUGCCAUGAAUCGAGAAGGUUAUCAUGCAGGACUUGAAGAUUUCCAGUCUGUCCUUUCGACCUUUACACGAUACAGCCGAUUGAGAGUCAUUGCUGAGGUUAGGCAUGGAGAUCUUUUCCACUCGGCCAACAUUGUAUCAAGCAUAGAAUUUGAUCGAGAUGAUGAAUUGUUUGCUACUGCCGGAGUUUCGAGGCGCAUCAAGGUCUUUGAAUUUGCUUCGGUGGUAAAUGAGUCAGCAGAUGUGCAAUGUCCAGUUGUGGAAAUGUCCACGCGGUCUAAACUUAGUUGCCUAAGCUGGAAUAAGUAUACAAAGAACCAUAUUGCCAGUAGCGAUUAUGAGGGGAUAGUAACUGUGUGGGAUGUAACUACUCGUCAGAGUGUGAUGGAGUACGAAGAACAUGAAAAACGAGCAUGGAGCGUAGAUUUUUCGCGCACUGAACCUUCAAUGCUGGUAUCCGGCAGUGAUGACUGCAAGGUAAAAAUUUGGUGCAUAAAACAGGAGGCUAGUGUUCUGAAUAUUGACAUGAAAGCCAAUAUAUGUUCUGUCAAGUAUAAUCCGGGAUCUAGCAUUCACGUCGCGGUAGGUUCUGCGGAUCACAACAUUCAUUAUUAUGACUUGAGAAAUGUCAGCCAACCACUGCAUGUUUUCAGUGGACACAGGAAAGCUGUUUCAUAUGUAAAAUUUCUGUCCAACAAUGAACUUGCUUCAGCGUCUACUGACAGCACAUUGCGAUUAUGGGAUGUCAAAGAAAAUCUUCCAUCGGUGUUGGUGUGAUGAGUGUCUCUGGAGGGGAGGGCAGGAUGUGCUACACUGGAAUGUAUGCAUUGUGAAGAAAAGAACGUAAUUUUUGGAGGAAUGGAGCUCCUCUGCAGUCCAAUUCUGGACUGAAUUGUGUCUGUGAGGCCCAUCAUGGAUUCCAUUUGAAUGAUCCAAGCUGUUCCUUCUCUCUGUCCAGACUUCAGACGUGUUGAUCAGCCACAGGAAAAUAUCACUUAAAUGGAGGAGCCAGUUUGACUGAAUCACACUUGUCUUUGAAAACAGGGAGGUGAAACCAUUAAUUUACUCCAUGACGAGUGUGGUUAGGUCAUGAACCUACCGAUAUUUUUUCAAGAAAACCAACUUACCUUGUGAGAUUGUCUGAUCUCUACUGUGGACUGACCUUGAUUAGAACACUUCUUUUAUUGAAAAAUCCCAAAGUUCUAGAAUCCAACUAAUCUGUCCCCCUUUUCUUGUUUUUCCACCUCUCAGCUUCGCACAUUUAGAGGCCAUUCGAAUGAGAAGAAUUUUGUCGGUCUCACGGUAAACAGUGAAUACAUCGCUUGUGGCAGUGAAACAAAUGAAGUUUUUGUCUAUCAGAAGGCCAUCUCUAAACCAGCAGCUUGGCAUAGGUUUGCUUCUUCGGACUCGGAGGAAGCUGAAGACGAUGCUGGAUCGUAUUUCAUUAGUGCUGUUUGUUGGAAAAGUGAUAGCCCAAC